rnacentral:rRNA from 1 species
GACGAACGCUGGCGGCGUGCUUAACACAUGCAAGUCGAACGCUGAAGCUCAGCUUUUGUUGGGUGGAUGAGUGGCGAACGGGUGAGUAACACGUGAGUAACCUGCCCCCUUCUUUGGGAUAACGCCCGGAAACGGGUGCUAAUGCUGGAUAUUCACUGGUCUUCGCAUGGGGGUUGGUGGAAAGGGUUUUUCUGGUGGGGGAUGGGCUCGCGGCCUAUCAGCUUGUUGGUGGGGUGAUGGCCUACCAAGGCUUUGACGGGUAGCCGGCCUGAGAGGGUGACCGGUCACAUUGGGACUGAGAUACGGCCCAGACUCCUACGGGAGGCAGCAGUGGGGAAUAUUGCACAAUGGGCGCAAGCCUGAUGCAGCGACGCCGCGGGAGGGAUGGAGGCCUUCGGGUUGUGAACCUCUUUCGCUCAUGGUCAAGCCGCAACAAUGGUUGUGGUGAGGGUAGUGGGUAAAGAAGCGCCGGCUAACUACGUG